rnacentral:rRNA from 1 species
CCUACGGGAGGCAGCAGUGAGGAAUAUUGGUCAAUGGGCUUACGCCUGAACCAGCUAAGUCGCGUGAGGGAAGACUGCCCUAUGGGUUGUAAACCUCUUUUGUCAGGGAGCAACGCCGGCUACGUGUAGCCGGACUGAGAGUACCUGAAGAAAAAGCAUCGGCUAACUCCGUGCCAGCAGCCGCGGUAAUACGGAGGAUGCGAGCGUUAUCCGGAUUUAUUGGGUUAAAAGGGUGCGUAGGCGGAAUGCCAAGUCAGCGGUAAAAUCGCGGGGCUCAACCUCGCUCCGCCGUUGAAACUGGCGUUCUUGAGUGGGCGAGAGGUAUGCGGAAUGCGUGGUGUAGCGGUGAAAUGCAUAGAUAUCACGCAGAACUCCGAUUGCGAAGGCAGCAUACCGGCGCCCAACUGACGCUGAAGCACGAAAGCGUGGGGAUCGAACAGGAUUAGAUACCCUAGUAGUC